AUAACGUUAAUUAUUUCGUAACAGUGGCGCCUGUCAGUGUGGGGGGUAUAUAAGACAGCAAGUGACCGUUCCGUUCUUGAUGCUGGUGUGUUGGAAGCAGGAAAAAUGUAAAGUGUAAGAAGCUGACUUUGACAAACUGUGGUGGUAAUAUAUAUUUUGAUCGGAGGUGGCCAGAGGAUCCUGACUGUUGGCUACACAAACGAGAUGCUCCAGAUGAUCAACAAUGGGAAACGCGUGGUUUACAUUUUCCUUCAAGAACAAAUUUACACUACACCCCUCUAUUAAGCUGUGGAUGGUGCACCUGAAGACUGGCUGAGUACAACUCCAGAACUUGGGAGGCACACGGCCCAGUGAAGAUGACCCAAAACAUUGUGGGCUCCCACUAUAAACCUCCCGACAAUUCAGAUGGCUUGAUGGCGAUGAACCCAGCAGAGGGAUGAUGUCAGCAGUACAGCCUUUUCUUGGGACUUGCCACCAGCAAUCCUUAACCAGAUGUCAGUGGCCAGACAAUCAGCAGCAUUGAAGACAUGCAUAGAGACAGGCA